rnacentral:rRNA from 1 species
ACGGGUGAGUAAUGUCUGGGGAUCUGCCUGAUGGAGGGGGAUAACUACUGGAAACGGUAGCUAAUACCGCAUAACGUCGCAAGACCAAAGAGGGGGACCUUCGGGCCUCUUGCCAUCAGAUGAACCCAGAUGGGAUUAGCUAGUAGGUGGGGUAAUGGCUCACCUAGGCGACGAUCCCUAGCUGGUCUGAGAGGAUGACCAGCCACACUGGAACUGAGACACGGUCCAGACUCCUACGGGAGGCAGCAGUGGGGAAUAUUGCACAAUGGGCGCAAGCCUGAUGCAGCCAUGCCGCGUGUAUGAAGAAGGCCUUCGGGUUGUAAAGUACUUUCAGCGAGGAGGAAGGCAUUAAGGUUAAUAACCUUGGUGAUUGACGUUACUCGCAGGAGAAGCACCGGCUAACUCCGUGCCAGCAGCCGCGGUAAUACGGAGGGUGCAAGCGUUAAUCGGAAUUACUGGGCGUAAAGCGCACGCAGGCGGUUUGUUAAGUCGGAUGUGAAAUCCCCGGGCUCAACCUGGGAACUGCAUUCGAAACUGGCAAGCUUGAGUCUUGUAGAGGGGGGUAGAAUUCCAGGUGUAGCG